UACGGAGGGUGCAAGCGUUGUUCGGAAUCAUUGGGCGUAAAGCGCGUGUAGGCGGCUUGGCAAGUCAGUUGUGAAAGCCCAGGGCCCAACCCCGGAAUUGCAUCUGAAACUGUCGGGCUAGAGUCCGGAAGAGGCGAGUGGAAUUCCCGGUGUAGCGGUGAAAUGCGCAGAUAUCGGGAGGAACACCAAUGGCGAAGGCAGCUCGCUGGGACGGUACUGACGCUGAGACGCGAAAGCGUGGGGAGCAAACAGG
rnacentral:rRNA from 1 species